ACUUUCCUAACAGUGAGGCAUUAUGAAGUCAGAGCAAGAAACUGACCAAUCACGGCUGCAGAUAAUUCACGGGGGGUUUCGCAGGAAUUUUAUAAUUAAAUUAAAAAGAUACCCUAAAAGAUUUUGCCUUUGAUGGGUGAUAGGGAUUGAUACUUCAUUUUUGAGAAAUUCAAACAAGUAUGGUGCUUCGGUGGUCUUGUCUUUUCUAGUGUAAAAGGUGAUAAUAAUGUGUGUCUUUCGAAGACCUCCUAGUGUCUCCACUUAGUAUAUCCCCUCCUUUGCCUUUACCCUCUGAGUGAUGGGUCUCUGAGUGAUGGAACAACUUCUCUGGCCUCGGUAAACUCAACACGUGUUCUGUUGCCCAAGACACCGUGGCCAGGUACACUGUCCGCAUCUCCAGAGCUGAGAGGAAGGUGGCUUUGUCACCCUUUCCCCCUAAGUCAUGGUCAGAUUUCUCGGCAGAAACCCCGAAGCCCAGAAGGCAGUGCGGUCCGUGCAGUCCAAACAGGGAAGGCCCAGUCAGUGGCAGCCGAGAAAGCUACAUCCUCCGAGACUGUCCUCCGCCUGGACCUGCACAGCCCAGAAAUGACGAGACUUGGCCGCAUCACAGCCUCGGAUCUGUCUCCUUGGGACAGCCUCGUGCUGAGCCCUCAGGACCAGUGUUUCUCCCGAGGAAGCCACAACCUCCUCUCAGUGCUGGUCCCUGCCUCAAGCCUGGGAGGAAAGAACCAGCACCCCAGGAAUUCUCACUACAGUUUCAUUACUUAAGCCAAAAAAAUUAAAGUAUGAUGACUCUUGUUACUGUUUUCCAUUAAGUAAAGGUAAUACCCGUCUUU